rnacentral:rRNA from 1 species
AUUGAACGCUGGCGGCAGGCCUAACACAUGCAAGUCGAGCGGAUGAAGGGAGCUUGCUCCUGGAUUCAGCGGCGGACGGGUGAGUAAUGCCUAGGAAUCUGCCUGGUAGUGGGGGAUAACGUCCGGAAACGGGCGCUAAUACCGCAUACGUCCUGAGGGAGAAAGUGGGGGAUCUUGGGACCUCACGCUCUCAGAUGAGCCUAGGUCGGAUUAGCUAGUUGGUGGGGUAAAGGCCUACCAAGGCGACGAUCCGUAACUGGUCUGAGAGGAUGAUCAGCCACACUGGAACUGAGACACGGUCCAGACUCCUACGGGAGGCAGCAGUGGGGAAUAUUGGACAAUGGGCGAAAGCCUGAUCCAGCCAUGCCGCGUGUGUGAAGAAGGUCUUCGGAUUGUAAAGCACUUUAAGUUGGGAGGAAGGGCAGUAAGUUAAUACCUUGCUGUUUUGACGUUACCAACAGAAUAAGCACCGGCUAACUUCGUG